GUAGCUAUUUGUUUUCACAGCAAUAUCAUGGGCAAAAGAAAGAAAACCACAAAAAUUGUAAUUUUGAAAUUUUAUAUUUUUUGAUCUUUUAAGCACCAAUGCGGUGAGUACUUGUAGCUCUAUCUUUCCUUACACAACAACUACACACAUUUUCAUUAGAGAAGCCGUAAACAAAUAACAUAUCGCGAUAUUCAUUCUUUAAGAAAAAAAGCAGGUUUUCCUUCUUUUGUAAAUGGCAAUGAAUCCGCAAAAGAAGGAAAUUCACAAACCAUGUAUUACUUGAUUUUAAAACAAAAGCAUAGAUAUUUACAAUUUGACAAGAACUGUCAUUAAGUUUUCACUUCGAGUUAAAGUAGUUAAAUAAGUAAUUUGUUUCACAAACAUUGAAUAUCGGGACAUUUAUUUAUCGGGACUCAUUUACUUACGGUGUCGCAAAUGGAAACUCGCGGAAGGCAGCAAGGGAAAGUGUUCAGACGCUGUGGGGAAACUGGUUACUUUCGAGGUUUGCGGAUUAAAGAAGGUGGUCAAAAUGGUUACUGCUGGAGACAAGAACCUGCGAUUAUGAGAGCUGUUACAGAAGAUAGAUCUAGAAGUACUCGCCGCGUUGGUGCUGCAUUAAGGAUUCGCCAUUGCACUGUACAUAGAGUUCUUAAAAAAAAAUAAUUUGCAUCCGUUUCAUUUGAAAAAAGUCCAGGAUUUAUUGCCAGUGGAUGGUGAGGUGAGGCUUCAAUUCUGUUGGUGGUAGUUGAAUAAGUUGCAAGAGUGGGGAACAGAUCAAAUAUUUUGGACAGAUGAAGCAACAUUUACAAGGGCCGGAAUAAUGAAUUUAAGAAAUAACCAUAUAUGGCAUACAGAAAACCCUCAUGCGACUGUUGUUUCACAUUUUCAGCAUGAGAUAAGGAUCAACGUAUGGAUAGGAUUAAUGAGAGGUCGCCUUUUCGAGCCUGUAAUACUUCCUGAUCGGCUCAAUUCCAAUGAGUUUUUAAAUAUAUUAAAGAAUGACCUUGUUGACUUUCUGAAAGAAAUCCCCUUAGCCGCUAGACAGGAACUUUGGUUUCAAAUGAAUGGAUGUCCAGCCCGUAAUGGCAAAAUUGUGCAAAAUUCCUUGAAUCAAUGCUUUGGGGAGAAAUGGAUCGGAAGAUACGGUCUGGUAAGAAGCUCUGACCUUACGCCCCUUGACUUUUGUUUUUGAUGUCUGGGGCAGAUCAAAAUGUAAUGUUUAUAGUAUUAACAUUAAUACUCGAAACGAACUAAUUAAUCGAAUUAGUGUGUGUUGCAAUGAAAUGCGACAAAAACGCGUUGAACUUGAACGGGUUGUUGAUAGUAUCAGAAGAAGAUGCAUCAAAUGUAUUGAACAAGAGCGAAGACAUUUUGAACAAUUGUUGUAAUUUAAAGUUUGUUUAAUGAAAUUUUGAUUUUUUAAUUUUGCUCAAUCAAGAAAUAUAAAAUUUGAAAAUUUUCAA